rnacentral:lncRNA from 1 species
GAUGACGUACGGAAGCUGCCGGCGUUGCCCUCUCCCAAGAUGGCGGCCAGGUCGCCUGCUCGGGCCUCCCAGGCGACUUUGCCCCACUGCGCCCGCGCUCUCUUCUCCUUUCCAUUUCUGGACCAAGGGGCUGCCAUAAGGAGUCUGUGACUAGAGAUGGGAGGUGGUGGCCACGGCCUCUCGCUGUAUGCUGUGUGGAAGGUCGAAUCAUCAUCAUCAUAAAACUUAAUAUUGCCCUUAUGUGCCAGGAACUACUGUAAGUGCAUUCCAUCUAAUACUUUAUUAAAAAUUCGCAAGGGGGUGGAGGUAGGUACUUAAAUCCAUUUUAGAGAUGAAGGAAUUGAGGCACAGAGGGGUAAAGUAACUUGCCUAAGAUCACACAGCUAGUAACGAGCGGUCAGUACUGGAAACCAAACAAGGUAACUCCACAGUUCACUAUUUUUUUUUUUUUUUUUUUUGAGACGGAGUCUUGCUCUGUCACCCUGGAGUGCAGUGGUGCGAUCUCGGCUCACUGCAACCUCUGCCUCCUGGGUUCAAGCGAUUCUCCUGCCUCAGCCUCCCAGCAGCUGGGAUUACAGGCGCCACCACACCUGGCUAGUUUUUCUAUUUUUAGUAGAGAUGGGGUUUCGCCAUGUUGCCCAGGCUGGUCUGGACCUCCUGACCUCAGGUGAUCCGCCCACCUCGGCCUCCCAAAGUGCUAGGAUUAUAGGCGUGAGCCCCCUUGCCCGGCCUAUAGUUCAUAAUCUUAACAGUAUCACCUUUAAAAUAAUUAAUACAUUCUUCUUGCCCCCAAGGAAAAAUGAUCCAGCUAUAAUAACCACCUCCUUUAUCGAACACCUACUUGGUGACAGUCAUGCUGGCUCUGAUAAUCUGAUUCCUUACAACUGUUCUGCAAGGGCCUACUGUUACCCUCCCUGCCGGUUCACUUAUUCAGGAUUCAUUGAGCUUUUACUAUGUGCCCGGACGUCCUUUGCAAAUCUGUCUCACUAAUCUUUGCAAGAAAGAAACCUCUACAAAGAGGUUUAUUAUCCCAGUUUAGAGAGAAUCAAAUGGAGGCUCAGAAAGAGUAAGUCCACUGACUGAUAUGCUAGCAAGUGGUGGGGACAGGAUGUAAACCAGGUGUUUCCGACUCUGGGGCCUUCAGGGGUUCCUGUCUGUGCUGCUUUGUCCCUAGAAGGCCAUGGAGGUUUGGGUACUAUGUGCACAUCUGUGUAUCAUUUCCAGAAGACAUGGGUUGGCCAGCUGUCCUGGACACCUCGAGCACACACAGACUGCAAGCUCCAUGAAGGCAGCAGGCUGAUCUCCCUUGAUCACGGCCUUAUCGCCUGUACCUGGAACACAAGGCCUGACACAAAGCAGGCAUUCAGAAAAUAUGUGUCAAAAAUCACAAACUAUGUGCUGAGCAUGUAAGAGACAGCUCUUACAUGAUGGAAAGUUCUCAAAGGCAGACUGGAUAACGGAGGUGGCAAGGAAUUUGUGAUGAUUCCAGAUUUCUGGAUGUGGAGAGUAGAAGUUCCUGGAGGGCAGUCUGGGAAUGCCGUCAGUGCUGCUGUAUUCCCAGGGCCUGGCAUGCAGCAGGUGCUUAGUGAAUAUUCGCUGAGGGAGUGGCACGUGGGUCUAGUGCCACUUCAGCAGUGCGUUUCCUUCAGGCGUCUUCCCGCCCUAGUAACCUAUAAGCCACAUGUUGAGCGGAUGAAUGAAAAAAUGAAGUUACAGGUUAGGAAGGAAUCAUCCUGUUAAGAGGUUUCCAAUCCUAGCUGCACACUUGAACUGCCUAUGAAGUUUUAACAAAACAAACCAAAACAGGCCGGGCCUGGUGGCUCAUGCCUGUAAUUCCAGAACUUUGGAAGCUGAGGCAGGCGGAUCAACUGAGGUCAGGAGUUUGAGACCAGCCUGGCCAACAUGGUGAAACGCUGUCUCUGCUAAAAAUACAAAAAUUAGCUGGGCGUGGUGGCGCACGCUUGUAAUCCCAGCUACUCGGGAGACUGAGGCAGGAGAAUCGCUUGAACCCGGGAGGCAGAGGUUGCAGUGAACCAAGAUCGCACCACUGCACUCCAGCCUGGGCGAUAGAGCGAGACUCUGUCUCAAAAAAAAAACAAACCCAAAAACCCCCAAAGGGUAGGAAACCUCAGUCAAACCACAAUUUAUCAGAGUGCGGCCCCAGUCUGGAUACUUUUAUUUUUGCACCAUCAUGCCUAAUUUUUGUAUUUCUAGCAGAGACAGGGUUUUGCCAUGUUGGCUAGGCUGCUCUCGAACUCUUGACCUCAAGUGAUCCGCCUGCCUCGGCCUCCCAAAGUGCUACGAUUACAGGCAUGAGCCACAGCACCCAGCCCCAAGUCUGGAUACUUUUAAUGACUUUAAAGCAUAGCCAGGGCGGACCAUCACUGAUUUAGGUCAUGGAUGACAGAAACAGAUUCUCACACUAUCCUUCAGCCAGCACCCAUGAUGGGGGCAGACAUGGUAAUCAAUUUCAGGUCUCAGAAGUCUUUGCUGCCAUUAUCAGUGGACUGGAGCUGUGGGAGAAGCUGCAGGGGAGAGAGGAGCAGGGCAGGUGUCAAGGAAUUUGAACCUCACCUGCACUUCUCUAGGCUUUCUGGGCUGGAGCCCCUCUCCCAGGAGUCCACCCUGGUUUCCUAGGCAGCCCCUCCUCUGUGCAAUUACUGCCCCUGCUCACUUCCUGACAUUUUCCCAUCAUGCCUGGGCACUGAGCCUCCUUCAGCUGUCUCCUCUGUAGCGAGGGGCCCUGCGCGGGGCAGGGUAAAGCACAUGUGUACCAGACAGGGCCCCCAACAUGCACAUUGUGGAGUGUGGUGGAGGCAGCUGGUUUCUGCCCACCUUUCCUGGGCAAAGGCUCCUGCUAUCUCCUCCCCCACUCCCCAGACCCACUCGGGCCUCAGACUCUGCCCACCAAAGCCGCUUCCUCCCCCGUCCUGUGACAGAUGGAACAACUGUCACCGGGGCGUUCAGCCUUCCUGCCAGAGAAAUGUGGACAUGGGAGAUUCGGUGGGCUUCCACCCAUUCUCAUCCAAAGCAGUCAUGAGGACCGUCACAUUCGACCCUCCCACUGGCUCUGAGGGGUGGCAUCACCACCGUGCAUCCCAGUUGAGGAAAUCAAGGCCCCUGGACCCCAAGAACCCAGAGAAAGAUCAAGAUGGGCGCUCUGGGACUCCCAAGCCAGAGCUCCUCCCCAGGCCCACCGUCCCUGGGUCUCCCCCACCUAGAAACUGACCCAGCCCACACGUGUUUCAAGGAUGCAUGCGCCUGACCUCCCAAGAGCUCGCCCAGAGUCUGGGGGACCAGGAGUGUGAGAGGGACUGGUGACUGGCCCAGGGGCAGAGUGGGUAGCAGAGGUGAGGAGGAAGAGA